UAUUUUAUAAAAAUAAUUUAUUUAUUUAAUGUUUUAGUAUUAAUUUAAAAUUAAUUUAAAGAUUUAUAGUUUAAAAGUAUUGUGAAAGAAUUAAUUAAAUUUUUAAAAGAAUAUAUUUAUAGUACCUUUUGUAUCAGGGUUAAUUAAAAUUUUUAAUUUAUUUUUUAAUUCUCAAAAUUUAUAGAGUUAAUUUUAUUAUUAAGUUAUUGUAAUAUAAAUAUUUAAAAAAUAAUUUUAGUUUUGAAAUUUAAUUCGUUAUAUUAUAUUUAGUUAUUUAAGAUUUAAAUUUAAUUUAAAAUUUUAAAAGUUAUAUUAAUUUAAUUUAUUAUAUAUUUUAAAUUUAAAUUAUUUUAGGGAUAAGCUUGAAAUUUUUAUAAAAUAAAUUUUUUUAUUAAUAAUUUAUAGGAAUAGAAAUUUUUAUUUAAGUUUGUAAAAAUUUAUUAUUUAUUUAAAAUUUUGAUUUAUUAUAAUUUAUUUAUUUUUAUUACUAAAUUGUAUUAAUUAAUAUUAUAUUUUUAGUAAUAAUGAUUAAAUUAGUAUAGUUAAAAAUUAUAAAUUAUGAAUUUGGCAAAAAUUAUUUUCAUCUGUUUAACAAAAACAUUGUAUUAAGUUUUAUUUAAUAUAGAAUCUGCUCAAUGAUUAAUUAAAUAGCUGCAGUAUUUUGACUGUGCAAAGGUAGCAUAGUAAUUAGUCUUUUAAUUGAGGACUUGAAUGAAUGAUUUGAUGAAAAAUAAACUUUAUUAUUUAUAAAAUUAAAAUUUUAUUUUUAAGUAAAAAAGCUUAAAUUUUUUAAAGGGACGAUAAGACCCUAUAAAACUUUAUAAAUAUUAUUUAUUAAAAAUUUGGUUAAAUAAUUAUUUAAUUUUUAUUAUUUAUUUUAUUGGGGUGAUAAAAAAAAUUAAUAAACUUUUUUUAAAAUUUUACAUUAUUUUAUGAUUUAUUGAAUUAAAAUUUUUAGUUAUAAGAAAAAGUUACUUUAGGGAUAACAGCGUAAUUAAUUUUUUAAGUUCAAAUUUAAAAAUUAGUUUGCGACCUCGAUGUUGAAUUAAGAUUAAUCUUAGGUGCAAAAUUUUAAGUAUUAGGUCUGUUCGACCUUUAAUUUCUUACAUGAUUUGAGUUCAAACC
rnacentral:rRNA from 1 species